UUCUCUCUAGCUUAAGGUGUAAGAGUGUCAGUUUGAAGAGCUGAAGGUACUUGUUGUGGGAGGAA
rnacentral:tRNA from 1 species